CGGGGAUGUCGUGGGGGUGCACGGGGCCCUGACCGGGCCCGGUACGGGGGCCGGAGGCGCUGCCGGUCGCUCCGGCGUGCCCCGUC
rnacentral:tRNA from 1 species